CAAUAUAAAAAUGUCACAUGCCCAAAUAUUGCAUAGAAAAGUACGAAUUCACAAGGGGGCCAUAGUCAGAUGGCAGGAGGCUGGCAACCAGGCUUCUCCAGUGCAUAGUGGCGAGGUUGGUUUCGCCACAAGUAUCAUUAAAGAUGUUCCUAAAUUAUACAACGUCAACUAUAGGAUAAAUAAAAUGUAGACAAAAUGGAAAAAUUGUUUUUUAU